ensembl:snoRNA
GCUGCUCCUAAAGGCAUUGCAGAUGUGGCUGUGUGUCUCUGGCCAUGUCUCUAGGUGGCAUAGAGAAGGUAGGCUUGUCCACACCCAGUACUUUGACUCAGGAGCUCUGAUGGUUAGUAGUCUGACCCU